UACGAAGGGGGCGAGCGUUGUUCGGAAUUACUGGGCGUAAAGGGCGCGUAGGCGGUGCACCAAGUCAGGCGUGAAAGCCCCGGGCUCAACCCGGGAACGGCGCUUGAGACUGGUGCGCUCGAGUUCGGGAGAGGACGGCGGAAUUCCCAGUGUAGAGGUGAAAUUCGUAGAUAUUGGGAAGAACACCGAUGGCGAAGGCAGCCGUCUGGACCGACACUGACGCUGAGGCGCGAAAGCGUGGGGAGCAAACAGGAUUAGAUACCCUGGUAGUCCACGCCGUAAACGAUGAGUGCUAGGCGUCGGGGGCCUCAGGCCUUCGGUGCCGCCGCCAACGCAUUAAGCACUCCGCCUGGGGAGUACGGCCGCAAGGUUAAA
rnacentral:rRNA from 1 species